rnacentral:lncRNA from 1 species
GGCGGAUUGGUUGCUAUCACUCAUUGUGAAGUCAGAGUUACAGGCAAGGGAGCAACAGGGCUGAGGAGAUACCUGUUCUCCCAGUUUCACGGCCAGUACAAGGCCAUUCUUACACUGCUCGGGGGAGCCCCUCAGGAGAAGACACAUUUAAGAGUUUCCAGCAAGAAGAGUCAGGUCAUGCAGUCAGCUGCUUUCUCAGCCCAGCUGUGGGAAUGUAAACAAGUUUCUAACCUCAUUGAAUCUUAGGUUCCCUGUUUGGAAACAGAUGAGAUCCACAACAGCCAUUAUCUUAUUGGAUGGUUGUUGUAUGGCAGGGGCUGUACUGAAGAGUCACACACAUUACUUAGUCUUCCCAACAAUCCUGCAAGAUAUAGAACCUUGACAUGUUUCUCAGGCUGGUCUGAAACUCCUGGGGCUCAAGCGAUCCACCUGCCUCCACCUCUCAAAGUGCUGAGAUUACAGAAAAUGAAAGGAAUUGAAAUUAAGACAAGGGAGAGAUUGAAGAGUGGAAAGGAGAAAGUGGUUGAGGAACAGUGAGAGAAGUUGGAGAAGAAAGUAAGAAGAGGCCGCUUACCUGAUUUAAAAUUGGUGAGAUGUUCCUUGGGCUGGUGGGUCUGAGGACCUGAGGUCGUAGGUGGAUCUUUCUCACGGAGCAAAGAACAGGAGGACAGGGGAUUGAUCUCCCAAGGGAGGUCCCCCGAUCCGAGUCACGGCACCAAAUUUCAUACGCGUCCGUGUGAAGAGACCACCAAACAGGCUUUGUGGAUGAUGCAUCUGAGAGCUCAAUGCAUGUCGGUGAUGAUGAAGGUGAAGAUGCUGUGAGUGAUGAUGAGGAGGAGGAGGAGGAUGUAAUUGAAGGAGCUUGGGCUUUGCCAUCAGUACAGCUGAGUUAAAAUGAGAAAGGGAGCAAAGAAGAAGAAGAAAGGAAAAACUGAAAAAAGAAACAUUGAGGCUCAUGUCUUGUUUUGUUUCUCAAAAGAUUCCAUUAGACUCAAUAUGUCAUUCUAAGUGCACCUGGAUAUAGCGCAGAUUUAGAUAACUGUCUCCUCCCCUUCUGACCUUUAUUACGACUACAAAAAUUCUGUGUGUGAGGGAUAAAUAAUGCAUGCUCUCAGCCAAGAAGGGAAAGAAGACCCAAGGAAAAAUUGCAGAAUAGAAUGGCAAACCAGGAAAACAGAGCUCAGUACAGAAGGGAGUUGGGCAGCCUCUGUUCCUGUUUGGCUCUGUCCUUGAAGAAAGUGAUAAGAAGUGCACAGAUUUUGGAAUUAAACAGACCAUGGUUUGAAGUCUGGAUCUUCCAGUUGUAACCAGGUGGCAUUGGGGCCUAUGGUUCAUCCUGCAAUAUCAGAGAAUACACAACUGUUGGAAGCUCAUUUGUGCAGAAGCACUAGUUAGACCAAGUCCCAGGAUGGUGGGGACUUGAACUGCCUCAUGCACAUUGUACCCAAGAGCCUGGCCCAUGAAGGUGAAUCAGUGGAUACUUGAAUAAAAAGAAGAAUAUGCGCUGAAGUUUUCUUUGAGGACAUUUUUUUUUCUUUCCAUAG